rnacentral:rRNA from 1 species
UACGUAGGGGGCAAGCGUUGUCCGGAAUCAUUGGGCGUAAAGAGCGCGUAGGCGGUCCGGUAAGUCCGCUCUGAAAGUCCGGGGCUCAACCCCGGGAGGCGGGCGGAUACUGUCGGGCUAGAGUCCGGAAGAGGCGAGUGGAAUUCCUGGUGUAGCGGUGAAAUGCGCAGAUAUCAGGAGGAACACCAAUGGCGAAGGCAGCUCGCUGGGACGGUACUGACGCUGAGACGCGAAAGCGUGGGGAGCAAACAGG